rnacentral:lncRNA from 1 species
GUCACACUCCUAGUAUCAGAGGCAGGAUUUGAAUGCAGGUCUUACUGACAUCGAGUCCAGACCUUUACCCGCUUAUCUAGUCCAACCUCUUCUUCCUACAGAUGUGGAAACUGAGUUUCAAAGAGGGAAAGUGAAGCUUGUCCAAGGCCACAUAUAUAGUAAAAGAAUUGAAAUUCAGACCCUCUGAAGCCAAAUCCAGGGAUUACACCAAGUGGAGGACAGAGGAGCUACACUUUUCCUAGGCUUCAACAAGGACAAUAAAAAAAAAACCAGGAAAAGGGAAGUUGAGAUCUGGGCUUUCUGGACCAAAAUUGGAUUUCACUUCACCUUGGCAAUGAACUGUGUUUAAAAGGGUCCUUCAAAAAGAUUCCCAGUGAUUGGAGGGAACGCAUCUCCUAUCAAAGAGAAGAUACUGCCCUCCAGUUGGUAUCUUUGCAGCGGUGCCCUCAGGAGCGAAGAUCUAUUGUCUCUUAGCUGUAUACUAUGCAAAUGCUACUUUGUAAACCAAAGUUUUAUUGAAAAUAUUUAAGUUCUUUCCAUGUGAAUGUUUCAUGCUUUCAUGAAAAAAAAGGAAUGUAAUAUUCUUGUUCCUCAACACCUUCAAGCCUAGAAAAGCUAUAUAGAAUUAGGCAUGGACUUAGAAGCUGAAAAAAAACUGAGAAAUCAUCUAGUCCAACCACCUCAUUUUACAGAUAGGGAAACUGAGACCAAGAGGUGAAGUGAAUAUAUACUCUCCUGACUCUGAUCUGUAGAUAAAAUGGAAGUUUCCUGUGUUAUUUUACUUCCAAGGUUCUGUGAUUUAGUUUGUGUGUGAACUUCCUCCACCAAACAGGUUACAACUCAGGUAUUACUUAUUAGAUAAGUCUUAGAGCAUGACUUGAAGCCCAGAGAAGUUAAGUGGAUUGCCUAUGGUCACACAGCUAGAAAGUGUUAGAGUUGAGGUUUGAACUCACAUCUUCUCGACUCCAAAUUCAGCAUUUUAUCCACAGCACCAUUCUGUCUCUCUUUAUGAAUAUAAUAACAUUUUGUGAACU